rnacentral:rRNA from 1 species
UAGGGAAUAUUGGGCAAUGGGCGCAAGCCUGACCCAGCAACGCCGCGUGAGGGAAGAAGGUUUUCGGAUUGUAAACCUCUGUCCUUGGUGACGAAGGAAGUGACGGUAGCCAAGGAGGAAGCCCCGGCUAACUACGUGCCAGCAGCCGCGGUAAUACGUAGGGGGCGAGCGUUGUCCGGAAUGACUGGGCGUAAAGGGUGUGUAGGCGGUUUUACAAGUUAGAUGUGAAAUACCCAGGGCUUAACUCGGGUGCUGCAUCUAAGACUGUAAGACUUGAGUGUCGGAGAGGUAAAUGGAAUUCCUAGUGUAGCGGUGGAAUGCGUAGAUAUUAGGAGGAACACCAGUGGCGAAGGCGAUUUACUGGACGAUAACUGACGCUGAGGCACGAAAGCGUGGGGAGCAAACAGGAUUAGAUACCCUGGUAGU